rnacentral:lncRNA from 1 species
GGGUGAUGCUGAGAAAGGCAAGAAAAUUUUUGUUCAGAAGUGUGCCCAGUGCCACACCGCGGAAAAGGGAAGCAAGCACAAGACUGAGCCUAGUCUCCAUGGUCUCUUCAGGUGGAAGACAGGUCAGGCCAUUGGAUUAUCUUAACAUAGAGAUUGAUAAGAACAAAGCCAUCACCUGGGGGGAGGAUACACCUGAAGUAUAUAAAACUAUUUAUCCUUGCCUCCCCCACUAUGCAGAUUCAGAGUGUUCAUCUUUUUGACUUAUUAUUUCCUCUUAACAGAGAUAGCCAGUUUAA